rnacentral:sRNA from 1 species
AUACAGGCCUUCAAUGAGCCCGCCCAGUC